rnacentral:rRNA from 1 species
GAUGAACGCUGGCGGCGUGCCUAAUACAUGCAAGUCGAGCGAACAGAUAAGGAGCUUGCUCCUUUGACGUUAGCGGCGGACGGGUGAGUAACACGUGGGUAACCUACCUAUAAGACUGGGAUAACUUCGGGAAACCGGAGCUAAUACCGGACAACAUUUGGAACCGCAUGGUUCUAAAGUGAAAGAUGGUUUUGCUAUCACUUAUAGAUGGACCCGCGCCGUAUUAGCUAGUUGGUAAGGUAACGGCUUACCAAGGCGACGAUACGUAGCCGACCUGACAGGGUGAUCGGAACACUGGAACUGAGACACGGUCCAGACUCCUACGGGAGGCAGCAGUAGGGAAUCUUCCGCAAUGGGCGAAAGCCUGACGGAGCAACGCCGCGUGAGUGAUGAAGGGUUUCGGCUCGUAAAACUCUGUUAUUAGGGAAGAACAAAUGUGUAAGUAACUGUGCACAUCUUGACGGUACCUAAUCAGAAAGCCACGGCUAACUACGUGCCAGCCGCCGCCGUAA